GGUGUGCAGGAAGUGGGUCCGCACCCGGACCGGGUUGAACUCCAGGCGUCCCGUGGUGUUGGUGCAGCCGUCUUUGGUGCAGCCACAAGGGAAAGACAUGCGGUCCACCUGCAGACGGACAUCACAACGCAGAGCACAGAUUUGCCAACAUGAUCGGUGUGGCGAUGUGAUCUUACAGUCCAGCAGCCCAGAGGCAACGGGAUGGUUGAGACUGUCACUGCUGUUGCCGCUGUCGCUGCAGGAAACCUCGUCGUCCUCGGACCCCUGCAGGGAGAGG